GACGAACGCUGGCGGCGUGCUUAACACAUGCAAGUCGAACGGUGAACCUCUUCGGAGGGGAUCAGUGGCGAACGGGUGAGUAACACGUGGGCAACCUGCCCCCGGCUCUGGGAUAACUCCAAGAAAUUGGGGCUAAUACCGGAUGUUCACCGCUUCCCGCAUUGGGGGUGGUGGAAAGGGUAUCUGGCGGGGGUGGGCCCGCGGCCGCUCAGCUUGUUGGUGGGGUAGGGGCCUACCAAGGCGUCGACGGGUAGCCGGCCUGAGAGGGUGACCGGCCACACUGGGACUGAGACACGGCCCAGACUCCUACGGGAGGCAGCAGUGGGGAAUAUUGCGCAAUGGGCGGAAGCCUGACGCAGCGACGCCGCGUGGGGGAUGACGGCCUUCGGGUUGUAAACCUCUUUCAGCAGGGACGAAGCGCAAGUGACGGUACCUGCAGAAGAAGCACCGGCCAACUACGUG
rnacentral:rRNA from 1 species